rnacentral:rRNA from 1 species
AUUGAACGCUGGCGGCAGGCCUAACACAUGCAAGUCGAGCGAGCGGCGGACGGGUGAGUAAUGUAUGGGGACUGCCCGAUCGAGGGGGAUAACUACUGGAAACGUUGGCUAAUACCGCAUACUAUCGGAUAACCCAUAUGGGAUUAGCUAGUAGGUGGGGUAAAGGCUCACCUAGGCGACGCUCUCUAGCUGGUCCGAGAGGAUGAUCAGCCACACUGGGACUGAGACACGGCCCAGAGUCCUACGGAGGCAGCAGUGGGGAAUAGUGCACAAUGGGCGAAAGCCUGAUGGAGCCAUGCCGCGUGUAUGAAGAAGGCCUUAGGGUUGUAAAGUACGUUCAGCGGGGAGGCGUUACCCAAAGAAGAAGCACCGGCUAACUCCGUGCCAGCAGCCGCGGUAAUAC